AUUUUCACACCGUCGUCCCAAAUUGAGUACACCAUACAUUCAGAGCCCUAAUCUUCCAGCCUCCAUCGGCGUUAUUCUACAAUCGAUGAACUAAUUUUUAUCUCCAUUAUUCUGGCCGUUCACUCCAUUUCACAAGGAUUCAAGACUUCAUAACCACCAACAAUCGCAUCAACAAUCAUCAAGAAUCAACAUAAUCCGUGUUAAUCAUUGAUUCUUGCUUCCAAUUUCUGAUUCUAGGUAUGUUUUUUUAACGUUUACGGUUUUUUUUUCCAAAGUUGUUUAGAGUUUUGUUGUUUUAUCGAUUUGCAAACCCUAAAUCGAUUUUUUGUUGAUGCCUGAGGAUCUGCCAUAUAUAUUUUCCUUGAUAUUCUCCAUCGACCGAUGAUUAUGAGAAACCCUAAUUAGCGUUCAGCUUUCUCAUUCUCCAUUUGCAUCUUCUUCAACUAAUUGACAACGGUGAUUGCAAACAUCAAACAUCGAUUUCACAUCUUCAAGGUUCAAGUGAAGCAGAUGAAAUACAUAAAAUUUGCAGUGUGAUAGGCAGCCCAACAAAAAACUCAUGGGCUAAAGGAAUUGAGCUUACGAGUGGUACCAACUAUCUGUUUCCAGAG